AGCGAACGCUGGCGGCAGGCUUAACACAUGCAAGUCGAGCGCCCCGCAAGGGGAGCGGCAGACGGGUGAGUAACACGUGGGAACGUACCUUUUGGUUCGGAACAACCCAGGGAAACUUGGGCUAAUACCGGAUAAGCCCUUACGGGGAAAGAUUUAUCGCCAAAAGAUCGGCCCGCGUCUGAUUAGCUAGUUGGUGGGGUAAUGGCCCACCAAGGCUACGAUCAGUAGCUGGUCUGAGAGGAUGAUCAGCCACAUUGGGACUGAGACACGGCCCAAACUCCUACGGGAGGCAGCAGUGGGGAAUAUUGGACAAUGGGGGCAACCCUGAUCCAGCCAUGCCGCGUGAGUGAUGAAGGCCUUAGGGUUGUAAAGCUCUUUUAGCAGGGAAGAUAAUGACGGUGCCUGCAGAAAAAGCCCCGGCUAACUUCGUGCCAGCAGCCGCCGUAA
rnacentral:rRNA from 1 species